rnacentral:rRNA from 1 species
UACGUAGGGUGCAAGCGUUGUCCGGAAUUAUUGGGCGUAAAGAGCUUGUAGGUGGCUCGUUGCGUCGGGAGUGAAAACCUGCGGCUUAACCGCAGGCCUGCUUCCGAUACGGGCGAGCUAGAGUUCGGCAGGGGAGACUGGAAUUCCUGGUGUAGCGGUGGAAUGCGCAGAUAUCAGGAGGAACACCGGUGGCGAAGGCGGGUCUCUGGGCCGUUACUGACGCUGAGGAGCGAAAGCGUGGGGAGCGAACAGG